AAAUACAUUGAGAACAAACAAAUAAAUGAGAACAAACAAAUAAAUGAAGCAUUAAAGUUCGUUUCUCUGGACGGAAAUGCGCUUCGAUUGCUGCCGCUGUAUAUCAACGUUUCCCAUUAUUUGCUUUGUUUUUCUUUGAAAACAAGUUUCUCA
rnacentral:ribozyme from 1 species